rnacentral:rRNA from 1 species
CCUACGGGUGACAGCAGUGAGGAAUAUUGGUCAAUGGGCUUACGCCUGAACCAGCCAAGUCGCGUGAGGGAAGACUGCCCUAUGGGUUGUAAACCUCUUUUGUCAGGGAGCAACGCCGGCUACGUGUAGCCGGACUGAGAGUACCUGAGGAAAAAGCAUCGGCUAACUCCGGACCAGCAGCCGCGGUAAUACGGAGGAUGCGAGCGUUAUCCGGAUUGAUUGGGUUUAAAGGGUGCGUAGGCGGAAUGCCAAGUCAGCGGUAAAAUCGCGGGGCUCAACCUCGCUCCGCCGUUGAAACUGGCGUUCUUGAGUGGGCGAGAAGUAUGCGGAAUGCGUGGUGUAGCGGUGAAAUGCAUAGAUAUCACGCAGAACUCCGAUUGCGAAGGCAGCAUACCGGCGCCCAACUGACGCUGAAGCACGAAAGCGUGGGUAUCGAACAGGAUUAGAUACCCUGGUAGUC